rnacentral:rRNA from 1 species
UACAGAGGGUGCGAGCGUUAAUCGGAAUUACUGGGCGUAAAGGGCGCGUAGGCGGUGAUACAUGUGUGAUGUGAAAGCCCCGGGCUUAACCUGGGAAGUGCAUCGCAAACUGUAUAACUGGAGUAUAUGAGAGGGUGGCGGAAUUUCCGGUGUAGCGGUGAAAUGCGUAGAGAUCGGAAGGAACGUCGAUGGCGAAGGCAGCCACCUGGCAUAAUACUGACGCUGAGGCGCGAAAGCGUGGGGAGCGAACAGG